AGUGAACGCUGGCGGCGUGCCUAAUACAUGCAAGUCGAACGGAGUGGCGCACGGGUGAGUAAUAUAUAGCUAAUCUGCCCCUUGCUGGAGGACAACAGUUAGAAAUGACUGCUAAUACUCCAUAGCAAGGGAUGAGACUAUAUCGUAUCAGCUAGUCGGUGGGGUAACGGCCUACCGAGGCUAUGACGCGUAACUGGUCUGAGAGGAUGAUCAGUCAUAUUGGAACUGAGACACGGUCCAAACUCCGGCGGGAGGCAGCAGUAGGGAAUAUUGCGCAAUGGGGGAAACCCUGACGCAGCAACGGCGCGUGAAAGAUGACACUUUACGGAGCGUAAACUCCUUUUGUUAGGGAAGCGGUAUCUAACCAGAAAGCCACGGCUAACUACGUGCCAGCAGCCGCGGUAAUAC
rnacentral:rRNA from 1 species